GACGAACGCUGGCGGCGUGCUUAACACAUGCAUGUCGAACGGAAAGGCCUUUUCGGAGGUACUCGAGUGGCGAACGGGUGAGUAACACGUGGGUGAUCUGCCCUGCACUCUGGGAUAAGCCUGGGAAACUGGGUCUAAUACCGGAUAGGACCGCACUUUAGUGUGUGUGGUGGAAAGUUUUUUCGGUGUAGGAUGAGCCCGCGGCCUAUCAGCUUGUUGGUGGGGUAAUGGCCUACCAAGGCGGCGACGGGUAGCCGGACUGAGAGGUUGGUCGGCCACAUUGGGACUGAGAGACGGCCCAGACUCCGACGGGAGGCAGCAGUGGGGAAUAUUGCACAAUGGGCGCAAGCCUGAUGCAGCGACGCCGCGUGGGGGAUGACGGCCUUCGGGUUGUAAACUCCUUUCGCCAGGGACGAAGCGUUUUGUGACGGUACCUGGAGAAGAAGCACCGGCUAACUACGUG
rnacentral:rRNA from 1 species